GCGUGAAGGGCUUAGCUUAAUAAAAGUGAUUGAGUUGCAUUCAGUAGAUGUAGGAUAAAGUCUUACAGUCCUUA
rnacentral:tRNA from 1 species